UACGUAGGGUGCGAGCGUUGUCCGGAAUUAUUGGGCGUAAAGAGCUUGUAGGUGGCUCGUUGCGUCGGGAGUGAAAACCUGCGGCUUAACCGCAGGCCUGCUUCCGAUACGGGCGAGCUAGAGUUCGGCAGGGGAGACUGGAAUUCCUGGUGUAGCGGUGGAAUGCGCAGAUAUCAGGAGGAACACCGGUGGCGAAGGCGGCUCUCUGGAACGGUACUGACGCUGAGGCGCGAAGGCGUGGGGAGCGAACGGG
rnacentral:rRNA from 1 species